UACGUAGGGUGCAAGCGUUGUCCGGAAUUAUUGGGCGUAAAGGGUGCGUAGGCGGUUUGACAAGUCUUAUGUGAAAUCUAUGGGCUCAACCCAUAGUCUGCAUGGGAAACUGUCGGGCUUGAGUAUGGGAGAGGUGAGUGGAAUUUCCGGUGUAGCGGUGAAAUGCGUAGAUAUCGGAAGGAACACCGGUGGCGAAAGCGGCUCACUGGACCAAAACUGACGCUGAUGCGCGAAAGCUAGGGGAGCAAACAGG
rnacentral:rRNA from 1 species